rnacentral:rRNA from 1 species
CAAUAGCUACUUGCAUCAUUGUAAAUAUGAUGCAAGAUCGACUAUGUCGAAUAAAAUUCUAGGUAGAAUUAUGAUAAUGACAUUGUCUGCCUAUGUGUCUUGACCAAAUUACGUGCCAGCAGUCGCGGUAAUACGUAGAAGACUAGUGUUAUUCAUGUUUAAUCGGUUUAAAGGGUACCUAGACGGUAAAUCAAGCCUAAAAGGAAAUAAAUGAAGGGACUAAUUUACUAGAGUUACUUAUGAGGGGGUAUUAAAGUACUGCUGGUGUAGAGAUGAAAUUCUGUCAUACCUCUUUUCAAUAGAAAAAUAAUGGCACAGGUAUAGGCGAAAGCAUCCCCUUAUGUGAUAACUGACGUUGAGGGACGAAGGCUUUGUGUAGCGAACAGGAUUAGAUACCCCAGUAGUCAAAGCAGAAAAUGAUGAAUGUCAUAGAUUAGAUAUAUAAGUUUAUUCUAUAAAUGAAAGUGUAAGCAUUCCACCUCAAGAGUAAUUUGGCAACAUUGGAACUGAAAUCAUUAGACCGUUUCUGAAACCAGUAGUGAAGUAUGUUGUUUAAUUUGAUGAUCCGCAAAAAACCUUACCACAAUUUGAAUAUUUAUAUCUUUUAUUGUUUUUCUUUUUAACUUUAUUCUUAUUUUCUACUUAAAAGAAAACAAUGACAAGAAAAAAGAGGCAAUAAGAU